UACAGAGGUCUCAAGCGUUGUUCGGAUUCAUUGGGCGUGAAGGGCGCGUAGGCGGCGGGGUAAGUCUGGUGUGAAAUCUAGGAGCUCAACUCCUAAACUGCACUGGAUACUGCCCUGCUAGAGGACUGGAGAGGAGACUGGAAUUCACGGUGUAGCAGUGAAAUGCGUAGAUAUCGUGAGGAAGACCAGUGGCGAAGGCGGGUCUCUGGACAGUUCCUGACGCUGAGGCGCGAAGGCCAGGGGAGCAAACGGG
rnacentral:rRNA from 1 species